AGCAGCUUCGUGUCCUUGAGGAGAACUGAAGAGAGAAAGAGAGAGAAAGAGCCCGCUAAUGCCCACUCAGGACGUUUCCCUGUGGGAACACGUGUUGCCUCUUACUACAGCUCCUGUGGAGGAUGCCAAAAGGAAAAAGAGUGACCGGGUCUCAGCUGCAUAACCAGAGAGGUGGAAGAGGUAGCCCAGGCCUUCCAGCUGGGUCCUUGCACCCUCAGAGUGUCAGACCAUGCCUCGUGCAGGAUUCAUGGCUGUGUUUGAUCAGAUACAAUGCGAAUACUGGUGUCCUGGUACAAGAGGUCAAGAGAUUCUCACCAUGCUGAAGCUGUCCUGAAUUGUUGCAGAGCCCGUGCAAAGUUCACCUCAGGAAUGAAGCACACUUUACACACCAUAUCCAUAUGGUUGAGUUCCAAAAGGAGAUGGAGCCCCAGAGGAACUGGAGAGGUGACAAGACACUGGCCCAGCUGGACCAGUUUGGUCCUGGUGAGGGAUGCAGGAACUGAGUGACUCCAGCAUCUUGCAACUCAUGUUGCCCUGAGAGUCCUCCUACCCCUGACAGCCCUCCAGUCAAGCCUGAGAUCCCCCACCUGGAGAAAGAACUUCACAAAUCAGAAAUGUCCUAAAUUGGAUCCUUUUUGGUACAUAAUUUUCAAAACUGUAAUUUCCAUUUGAGAACUAUUUGUCCUGAUCCUGAGCAUCAGCUGAACUCAAUUUUUUUUCCCCCUGUAGUUUAAUUUAGGCAGCAGAUGCCAUCAGAAUGUUAAUGCCUUCUUAAUUCUCACCUACAUGCUUUUAUUCUUAUUAAUUUG